rnacentral:lncRNA from 1 species
AUGUCCUUGUUCAUGUAUGAGAGAUUAUUCGUUCAUCGCCGACUGUCCGAUCAUCACUUCUCCACUCUCAUCCCGCAGCUUUCCUCUUUUCAUCUGAGCGUCAGUGUCAAAUGGAAAUCUGAAGUGCUCCACUUUCGCAGUUUCUCACCUUUCGUAGCAAAAAGGUCCCAGGAUACGCAAAUUGCCAAUUCUUCUCCUCCUGUCUAUUCCUCUUCGCUGGCUGCUCCUGGUUUCUGGAGAACACCUCCUCUCCACGCUGCCUCGGACACUGGAAACCUGCCGCCACGUCAAUCACGUCCUCACAGCUGGGUAAUUAAUUUCAAGUGCAAAUUGCAGCCGUCUUAACUUGAGAGAGGGUGAGAAUAGAUCAGACUUUUCCCCCCUUUUAGUCUGUUUAUGCACAGUCUUUAGGCUUUCCAGACUAAACUUGUUUCUCCAGACCAGUUUGCAAAUAAGGCUCUGCUUAAAUCUCAAGGGUGGUGAUAAGAGGUUUUUUGAGUUUUUGUUCAUGUAUCUUUCAAAGCCAAGGGACUGUAAAGAAUAUCAGUCAUUUUAGAGUUGGCUGCUUGGCUACAGUUCACCUGUGAGUUUUCAAAGGAUGCUCUUUAUGAGCAAAGACCUUUGUGACUAGGCCAGUAGCCUUUGGUGUCUUUCAAGAAUACUUUACCAAGCCAAAUAUGGGGAAUAUCAUGAUGCUUUGUAAACACUAGACUUUGUUUCUUUUCUUUUUUUUCCUCUUUUUGCAAACUUGUUCUUCACCUUGCUCAGAUUAUGAUGAACUUAGUGUUGGAGAAUGUUACUUUGGAAAGCAUAACUGUGCUACUACUAAAAAAAAAAAAAAAGCUUAUCACAUAAUUAUUUAAUUAAAAAUAGUAAUAUGUUUUUGAGUGCUUUGUUUCUCUUUGUCAACUAGCUGAUGCUCUUAGUGAGUGUUUGUCUCCUUGACACAGUUUGCAUGCAACGACUAGAUUCCUGUAUUGACAUUGUCAAGGUUUUGGUAAGGGAGGAACUCAGGUGCAGACAGGGAUUCUCAAACAAAGGAUUUAUUACAUACAAAAGGGGAAAACAAAACCCACGAGGGGGAAAACACGGAGCAAGGUAAAGACUAAAUAACUAAAACAGGACUGGACUGACAAGAUAAACAAGGACUCUAAAUACUAACUAUAAACAAACACUCACGGUAAUACAAACACUUCUUAAGGAACAAUCACAGAGUGGAACAAUCACAGGUACAAAUCUCAGGUACAAUGAACCGACGCCAGACAGAGCACACUAGGAGAUCUAAAUAGGGGAACUAAUCAAGACACGACAGGUGUUACAGAUAGGACAAUCACGACACGACUAGGAUAACAAGGGGGGCGGGGCAAGGGAACAAGACAACACAAGCACAUGACGAACAACAACAAGGGCAAACAUGAAUACACCACAGCAGGGUUGGGGUGACAAAUAAAAAAAAACAAACAGGGAAGGGGAGGGGGCGGG